CUGGCGGCGUGCUUCAUACAUGCAAGUCGAACGAGAAUCUGGUGCUUGCACCAGAGGAAAGUGGCGGACGGGUGAGUAAUAUGUAGAGAAUCUGCCCUUUAGCGGGGGACAACAGUUGGAAACGACUGCUAAUACCCCAUAUGAGCGUAGCUGAGAUGCUAUUCUUGAAAACUCCGGUGCUAAAGGAUGAGUCUGCAUCUGAUUAGCUAGUUGGCGGUGUAAUGGACCACCAAGGCGACGAUCAGUAGCUGGUUUGAGAGGAUGAUCAGCCACAAUGGGACUGAGACACGGCCCAUACUCCUACGGGAGGCAGCAGUAGGGAAUUUUGCGCAAUGGGCGAAAGCCUGACGCAGCAACGCCGCGUGACCGAUGAAGCCCUUCGGGGUGUAAAGGUCUGUCAGUGGGGACGAAACUUGACGGUACCCACAGAGGAAGCAUCGGCUAACUCCGUGCCAGCCGCGGC
rnacentral:rRNA from 1 species